GAUGAACGCUGGCGGCGUGCCUAAUACAUGCAAGUCGAGCGAACAGACGAGGAGCUUGUUCUUCUGACGUUAGCGGCGGACGGGUGAGUAACACAUGGAUAACCUACCUAUAUGUCUGGGAUAACUUCGGGAACCCGGAGCUAAUACCGGCUAAUUUAUUGCACCGCAUGGUUCACUAGUGAAAGACAGUUUUGCUGUCACUUAUAGAUGGAUACGCGCCGGAUUAGCUUGUUGGUAAGGUAACGGCCUACCAAGGCAACGAUGCGUAGCCGUCAUGAGAGGCGGGCCCCCCAGAACGGAACUGAGGCACAGUCCACAAACGGACGGAAGGCAAGGGUAAGGUACAGUAGUGGAUGAAGGCUGACGGAGCAACGCCGCGUGAGGUAUGAAGGUACGGGGAUAGUAAAACUCUGCUAUUAGGGAAGAACAAAUGUGUAAGUAACUAGGCACGUCUUGACGGUACCGAAUCAGAAAGCAACGGCUAACUACGUG
rnacentral:rRNA from 1 species